AUUGAACGCUGGCGGCAGGCCUAACACAUGCAAGUCGAGCGAGCGACGGACGGUUGAGUAAUGUAUGGGGACUGCCCGAUACCGAGGGAUAACUACUGGAAACGAUUGCUAAUACCGCCUACUAUCGGCUUACCCAUAUGGGAUUAGCUAGUAGGUAAGGUAAUGGCUUACCUAGGCGACGAUCCCCAGCUGGUCUGAGAGGUUGAUCAGCCACACUGGGACUGAGACACGGCCCAGACUCCUACGGAGGCAGCAGUGGGGAAUAUUGCACAAUGGGCGCAAGCCUGAUGCAGCCAUGCCGCGUGUAUGAAGAAGGCCCUAGGGUCGUAAAGUACUGUCAGUCGGGAGGCGUUACCGACCGAAGAAGCAACGGCUAACUCCGUGCCAGCAGCCGCGGUAAUUC
rnacentral:rRNA from 1 species